rnacentral:rRNA from 1 species
UGGGGAAUAUUGCACAAUGGGCGAAAGCCUGAUGCAGCAACGCCGCGUGAGCGAUGAAGGCCUUCGGGUCGUAAAGCUCUGUCCUCAAGGAAGAUAAUGACGGUACUUGAGGAGGAAGCCCCGGCUAACUACGUGCCAGCAGCCGCGGUAAUACGUAGGGGGCUAGCGUUAUCCGGAAUUACUGGGGGGAAAGGGUGCGUAGGUGGUUUUUUAAGUCAGAAGUGAAAGGCUACGGCUCAACCGUAGUAAGCUAUUGAAACUAAAGAGCUUGAGUGCAGGAGAGGAGAGUAGAAUUCCUAGUGUAGCGGUGAAAUGCGUAGAUAUUAGGAGGAAUACCAGUAGCGAAGGCGGCUCUCUGGACUGUAACUGACACUGAGGCGCGAAAGCGUGGGGAGCAAACA